rnacentral:misc_RNA from 1 species
AAUGAGUCGUUUAGGGUUUAAAUCUGUGGUGUAUCGCGGUGAGCUCUGUUUGGGAGAACUGGAUGCUAUUCAGGUGACGGACCAGAAUUUCCAGUUCCCAAAACUACGAGAUACGAGUCCACCGCAUAUGGCGAAGCGGGCGUUGUUCUCCUCUUUCAAUUCUACAAACCAUAUCUUCGUAUUUCGUACUCUGCAAGCAUGAAUCUUCAUCUCCACAUGAACAGCCUCAUUUGAUCAACCUUCACGCUGCUUGCUUCCAUGAAUUCAAGACGCUUUGUUUUUUAUUGGAGAUGAGGAUAUACACUUAGUGGCAAUGCAGAGUAAGCUGAAGAAGUUUCAAGUUUCCCUGCUUUUGUUGCUUUACAGUUCCGUUCUUUGAAGAUAGAAUUGAGAU